rnacentral:rRNA from 1 species
GGCGGCAUGCCUAACACAUGCAAGUCGAACGAGACCUUCGGGUCUAGUGGCGCACGGGUGCGUAACACGUGGGAAUUUGCCUCGGGGUAUGGAAUAACUCAGGGAAACUUGAGCUAAUACCAUAUAAUGUCUUCGGACCAAAGAUUUAUCGCCCUGAGAUAAGCCCGCGUAGGAUUAGCUAGUUGGUGGGGUAAAGGCUCACCAAGGCGACGAUCCUUAGCUGGUCUGAGAGGAUGAUCAGCCACACUGGGACUGAGACACGGCCCAGACUCCUACGGGAGGCAGCAGUGGGGGAAUAUUGGACAAUGGGCGAAAGCCUGAUCCAGCAAUGCCGCGUGAGUGAUGAAGGCCUUCGGGUUGUAAAGCUCUUUUACUCGGGACGAUAAUGACGGUACCGAGAGAAUAAGCCCCGGCUAACUCCGUG